rnacentral:rRNA from 1 species
GAGCCGUAGCCCGAUGACAAACAAGGUGAGAAUCCUGUACCGCGAUAAUGACAGAACUGUGGGGACACGCGUGAAAGCAUAGCGGGAUGAAAGACCGCGCAAGCGGGGGCAGGGGCUGCAUAGGCAAAUCCGUGCAGCGUAACCCGAAGCCGUGACGCGUACCGAACUGCAAGUAGGGAAGUAUGCGAGCCAUGCGUCAAGAAAAGCCGCUAUCGCUCAUAUCGCGCCCGUACCGCAAACCGACACAGGUAGAUGAGGAGAGAAUCCUAAGGCCGACGGGAGAAGCAUUGUCAAGGAACUCGGCAAAAUGACUCCGUAACUUCGGGAGAAGGAGUGCCAUAGAGAUAUGGCCGCAGAGAAUUGGCCCAAGCAACUGUUUAGCAAAAACACAGGUCUAUGCGAAGCCGCAAGGCGAGGUAUAUGGGCUGACGCCUGCCCGGUGCUGGAAGGUUAAGGGGAGAGGUUAGAGCGAUCGAAGCCUUGAACUUAAGCCCCAGUAAACGGCGGCCGUAACUAUAACGGUCCUAAGGUAGCGAAAUUCCUUGUCGGGUAAGUUCCGACCCGCACGAAAGGCGUAAUGAUUUGGGCACUGUCUCGACAAUGCACCCGGUGAAAUUGAAGUACCAGUGAAGAUGCUGGUUACCCGCGCCAGGACGGAAAGACCCCAUGGAGCUUUACUCCAGCUUGAUACUGGGAUCCGGUAUUGCAUGUACAGGAUAGGUGGGAGGCUAGGAAGCGGGGACGCCAGUCGCCGCGGAGCCGCUGUUGGGAUACCACCCUUGCAGUGCUGGGUUUCUAACCAGCAGCCGUGAACCGGCUGGGGGACAAUGUCAGGCGGGGAGUUUGACUGGGGCGGUCGCCUCCGAAAGGGUAUCGGAGGCGCUCAAAGGUCCUCUCAGAAUGGUCGGAAACCAUUCGCAGAGCGCAAAGGCAGAAGAGGGCUUGACUGCGACACCGACGGGUGGAGCAGGUACGAAAGUAGGACUUAGUGAUCCGGUGGUAUAAAGUGGGAUUGCCAUCGCUCAACGGAUAAAAGCUACCCUGGGGAUAACAGGCUUAUCACUCCCAAGAGUUCACAUCGACGGAGUGGUUUGGCACCUCGAUGUCGGCUCAUCGCAUCCUGGGGCUGAAGUAGGUCCCAAGGGUUGGGCUGUUCGCCCAUUAAAGCGGUACGCGAGCUGGGUUCAGAACGUCGUGAGACAGUUCGGUCCCUAUCCGGCGCGGGCGUAGGAUAUUUGAGAGGAGCUGUCCUUAGUACGAGAGGACCGGGAUGGACUGGCCGCUGGUGGAUCUGUUGCGCCUCCAGGCGCAUGGCAGAGUAGCCAAGCCGGGACGGGAUAAACGCUGAAGGCAUCUAAGCGUGAAGCCCCCCUCGAGAUGAGAUAUCCCUGGCGUUAAGCCAGUAAGACCCCUUGAAGACGACGAGGUAGAUAGGAUAGAGGUGGAAGUGCAGCAAUGCAUGGAGCUGACUAUUACUAAUCGGUCGAGGGCAUGACCAG